rnacentral:misc_RNA from 1 species
GAAAGGUAAGAUUAGAAUAAAUAGAUACAAAAUCGCUGCAAUUUCUCCAAAUAAAUGUGAGGAGAAAAAUACAAGAAGAAUUUAUAAAGGAAAAAUAAUAAAUAAAUUAAAGGAAGAAAGAAAGGAAUCAAUGGAAGAGGUAGGUAAUUGCAAGAGCCACUAGUAGAAGGAUGUAAGCAAUUCCUUGAUCAAUAGUAUAGCCUGCAACAAAAACAAGAUCAACCCAGAAAUCUAAAUUAGGAAAAAGAUCAAAUUCACGCUAAACAAAUAGUUUUCACAUAAUUAAAUCUGAGUUUGAAUCUCAAUUGAUUCAAAUGGAAUUGAAAUUAUGAGAGAGAAACGUACCAUCGCUGGAUGGGCCUUGUGGUGCAGGAGAAGGAGCCAUGCCUUGUCCAUAGCCAAGAUGCAUCAGUGCCAAGAACAUAAACCCAAUGAUCGGGAGAGCAUACAAAUUCAUGGGACUCAUCUUCAAAAGCCAACAGAUAUCUAUUCCAGGAAGAUCUAAUAGCGAAAUCAAGACUCAGAGAGAGAGAGAGAAAUACUCUGUGAGCGAAUCAAGAAGAUGGCUAUGAACGGGAGACUAGAGGGUAUUUAUAUGGAUUUUUUAGGAGCAAGUUUGAAGUGCCAAUGAAUUUUCUAGGAAAG